rnacentral:rRNA from 1 species
UACGUAGGUGGCAAGCGUUGUCCGGAUUUACUGGGCGUAAAGGGCGCGUAGGCGGUCACGACAAGUCAGUUGUGAAAUCUCCGGGCUUAACUCGGAACGGUCAACUGAUACUGUCGGACUAGAGUGCAGAAGGGGCAACUGGAAUUCUCGGUGUAGCGGUGAAAUGCGUAGAUAUCGAGAGGAACACCUGCGGCGAAGGCGGGUUGCUGGGCCGACACUGACGCUGAGGCGCGAAAGCCAGGGGAGCGAACGGG